AGAGAGAGACAUGCGCGCAUAUCAAUAAGCGGAGGAAAAGAAACUAACAAGGAUUCCCUUAGUAACGGCGAGUGAAGAGGGAAGAGCUCAAAUUUGAAAUCUUCAAGGUUUUACCUUGACGAAUUGUAGUUUAAAGAAGUGUUUUCUGCUGAAGUUUUGGUAAAAGUUCUUUGGAAUAGGACAUCAUAGAGGGUGAGAAUCCCGUAUUUGACCAUUAUUUUCAGCUUUGUGAUACACUUUCAAAGAGUCGGAUUGUUUGGGAAUGCAGUCCAAAAUGGGUGGUAAAUUUCAUCUAAAGCUAAAUAUUGGCGAGAGACCGAUAGCGAACAAGUACCGUGAGGGAAAGAUGAAAAGAACUUUGAAAAGAGAGUUAAACAGUACGUGAAAUUGUCAAAAGGGAAGCGUUUGACACCAGUGUUGUUUUCUCGAAAAUCAAUUAAAAAUGGCUCGAUUUUGUAUUGCUGAGACCUUAAAAGCUCACUGUACAUUUUUCGUGUCUUUUUUAAUGCACUUUUCGUUUAACAAGUCAACAUCAGUUUCUUUUGUUGUAAAAGGGUCAUUGGAAGGUGGCUUUCUUUUCGGAGAAAGUGUUCAUAGCCUUUGGCCUCUGCAAUCGGAAGAGACUGAGGUCUGCAGCGUAGACUCUUCGGGGUUAGAUACAUUUGUGCUAAGUUAUAGCUUUUUAUAGACAACUUGUUGACUAUAAUUAGUCUUGUAGCUUACUCGCUUAUGCUAUUUUACCUACGCUUAGGAUGUUGAAGAUGUAGCACAUCAU
rnacentral:rRNA from 1 species